GCUUCAGUGCUCUGGGAGUGUUUAUAGCGCUGUGACUUUAACACUUCAUGACUGAGAGCUGCUGCUACAGCAACUUCACCCACAGCUACCAUGACUUUGAUCCCCGUCUUCAUCUGGACGCUGAUCCUCUGGACUCAAGAAUGCAGAGGUCAAGCCACAGUAACUCAGACUCCUGCAGUGAAAUCUGCUCUUCCAGGAGAAACAGUCACCAUCAACUGUAGAACCAGUCAGACAGUGUCUUCUCACAGCUCAUACGGUAACCGGUUACACUGGUAUCAGCAGAAACCUGGAGAAGCUCCUAAACUCCUGAUUAAAUUUGUAAAGCAGCUGCAGUCGGGUUUUCCAGCUCGUUUCAGUGGCAGUGGAUCUGGAUCUGAUUUCACUCUGACCAUCAGUGGAGUCCAGACUGAAGAUGCAGGAGAUUAUUACUGUCAGAGUUACCAUGAAAUCACUGGCUACUGGUUCACACAGUGUUAUAGAGUCGUACAAAAACCUCCCUCAGUCAGAUUGUAGAGAGACUGCACUACUGCAGCUGGGAGCGACUGCAGGUGCUGAGUUGGAGGAUGUGAUACAACACACUGACACUCUGUGGAGGAGAGGAACCACACCACACUAACUCACAACUCACAUUAGAAAUCUCUCAAUAAUCAUCACACCACACGGCACACAGUCCAUCACGUCCACUACUGUAAGAUAAAUAGUUUCCUGAUUUUCUAGACUGUCAUGGUGCAAACUGUGAAAAAUAGUUCUAUGUGAUAUUAGUCUAUCUAUAUUCACUCCCUUUAUAUAAACUCACUCUUCCUCCAAUAUCCUGUAGAUAGACGUGAUCCACCAGUCACACACACACACACACACACACACACACACACACACACACACACACACACACACACACACACACACACACACACACACACACACACACACACACACACACACACACACACACCCAGAGCCGGUUCUAGAUGUUUGGAG